rnacentral:rRNA from 1 species
UUAGGAAUCUUCCACAAUGGGCGAAAGCCUGAUGGAGCGACGCCGCGUGAGGGAUGAAGGCCUUAGGGUUGUAAACCUCUAAAAGAGGGACGAUAAUGACGGUACCUCUUGAAUAGCACCGGCUAACUCCGUGCCAGCAGCCGCGGUAAUACGGAGGGUGCAAGCGUUAUCCGGAAUCACUGGGCGGAAAGGGCGCGUAGGCGGUCUGUUAAGUCCGAUGUUAAAUCCCGGGGCUCAACCCCGGAUAAGCGUUGGAUACUGGCAGGCUAGACGGUUGGAGGGGCGAGUGGAAUUACCAGUGUAGCGGUGGAAUGCGUAGAUACUGGUAGGAACACCCAUUGCGAAGGCAGCUCGCUGGACAACACGUGACGCUGAGGCGCGAAAGUGUGGGGAGCAAACC